UUUAUUUUAUCUUCGCGUUUUUCUUUCGUUUUUCUUCCUGGACUUCAUUUCAUUUUAUUUAGAUAUUGAUACCAUACAUUAUUUUAUAGUAAAUACUUUGACUAUUUUGAUUUGAAAGUGAAAUAUUUGGAAUUAUUUUGUACUGCAACUAUUUUAUUUAGGCUGCUUCCAAGUUUUGAAAAAAUCCUUAAAAUUUUCACAAAUUAAUAACAAAACACUUUGGACACAUUUAAGUUUUAAAAAAAUUAAAAUAUUCAAAAUGCU